GGUUGAGUGGACUAAAGCAGCAGAUUGCUAAUCCGUUGUACAAUUAUUUUGUACCGAGGGUUUGAACCCCUCUCAUUCCGCUCCCUUGAAUCAUUUGGGACUUUCAUAUUGGAAAGAAUUUUGACCCCCAGAUUUUCUCAUAGAUAAAUGUACGAAACAAAUCCAAUUUGUAAGGAAAAAAAAUAUGGCAACCGUUUACCGAAGACACACGUUUCUCCAAAGUUGUAAGACCAUGUAUGGGGGCUGACGCCUCCCUACUGCCGGAAGGUAAGGAAGUUGCUGAACUGAUGACACGGAAGCCGACAACCGAAGCUCUGAUGAGCAACAUUCAUAACUAUAACGGUCCUAUGGUGGAGAAAUUCUUUGUCAAGUAAGUUCUAACCCGCACGAAAGGCGUAACGAUCUGGGCAAUGCCUCGGAGAGAGGCUCGAUCAAAUAGACAUGUUUGUGAAGAUGCAGACUACCUGCACCUGGACAGAAAGACCCUAUGAAGCUUUACUGUUCCC
rnacentral:ncRNA from 1 species